UUUCCGUAGGUGAACCUGCGGAAGGAUCAUUAUCAAAACAGCGGACUUCGGUCCUUGCUGCACCCUUGUCUUUUGCGUACCGUAUGUUUCCUCGGCGGGUCCGCCCGCCGACUGGACAAUUUAAACCACUUGCAGUUGCAAUCAGCGUCUGAAAAAACUUAAUAGUUACAACUUUCAACAACGGAUCUCUUGGUUCUGGCAUCGAUGAAGAACGCAGC
rnacentral:misc_RNA from 1 species